GGAGCGGUGGCUGAGCGGUCGAAAGUACCUCUUUGCUAAAGAGGCGUAGGGGAAACCUUACCGAGGGUUCGAAUCCCUCCCGCUCCGCCA
rnacentral:tRNA from 1 species